rnacentral:rRNA from 1 species
CCUACGGGCGGCAGCAGUGAGGAAUAUUGGUCAAUGGACGAGAGUCUGAACCAGCCAAGUAGCGUGAAGGAUGACUGCCCUAUGGGUUGUAAACUUCUUUUAUAUGGGAAUAAAACGUUCCACGUGUGGGAUUUUGUAUGUACCCUAUGAAUAAGGAUCGGCUAACUCCGUGCCAGCAGCCGCGGUAAUACGGAGGAUCCGAGCGUUAUCCGGAUUUAUUGGGUUUAAAGGGAGCGUAGGUGGAUUGUUAAGUCAGUUGUGAAAGUUUGCGGCUCAACCGUAAAAUUGCAGUUGAAACUGGCAGUCUUGAGUACAGUAGAGGUGGGCGGAAUUCGUGGUGUAGCGGUGAAAUGCUUAGAUAUCACGAAGAACUCCGAUUGCGAAGGCAGUUCACUGGACUGCAACUGACACUGAGGCUCGAAAGUGUGGGUAUCAAACAGGAUUAGAUACCCCGAGUAGUC